UCUUCUUUCUUCUUCUCUUCUUCUUCUUCUUCUUCUUCUCUUUCCUGUCGAUCUCAAUUCGAUGAAUUGAAUUUGUUUCGUUUGAUUAAUUCAUAGAAACUUGAUAGUAUGUUAAAUCGAAGGUGUAGAUUUUAGUUCUGUGUUUGAAUUAGCUCGGGAGAAGAAGGAACUGUUGUUGUUGUAAUUUGAAGUUAGGGUUUCAUUCGAAAUUCAAAGAGGAAUUAGAAGAUGAAGAUGAUGUUUUAGAGGAUUGAAUUAAGUUGGGUUUAUUAAGUAUUAGCAUAUAAGGUUGAAGAGUGGUCUGAAUUUGAUAUUACGGUUCCUGAGUUGGAUUAGAAUUCGAAUUAGGUGAUGAUUAAGAAGAAAUUGACGACUGGGUUCUGUUAAUUGAGGAACGGGAUGAAGUUAAUUGGAUGACAUGGAGUUAUUCAUGAAGAAUUGAUGAAUUAGGGUUUCAAUAUAAUUGAAUUGGGAAAUUAGCUAUUCAGAGGAUGCCGAUGUUUGGUUAAUAUUUAUUAACAACGAUCGAUCUAAAGAACGAACCGGCGGAUUAUGGAUCUCGAGGUAUGCGAGGCUUGUCAUCAAAAGAGUUUCAGAGACAGAUCAAGUUGUGCACGUGGCGAUGAAAGCUUUGAG